GGGCCUAGCGGUUAGAGCAUCCGCCUCGGAUGCGGAAGGUCGGGGGUUCAAUCGCCGGUCAAGUCA